rnacentral:rRNA from 1 species
UACGUAGGGUGCGAGCGUUAAUCGGAAUUACUGGGCGUAAAGCGUGCGCAGGCGGUCCGCAAAGUCUGAUGUGAAAGCCCCGGGCUCAACCUGGGAACUGCAUUGGAAACUAACGGGCUCGAGUGUGGCAGAGGGAGGUGGAAUUCCACGUGUAGCAGUGAAAUGCGUAGAGAUGUGGAGGAACACCGAUGGCGAAGGCAGCCCCCUGGGCUAACACUGACGCUCAGGCACGAAAGCGUGGGGAGCAAACAGG